rnacentral:lncRNA from 1 species
CUGGAAUUGUCUGUUUGCAUCAUUUGCAGUCUGAUGUUACUCUGUACUCUUUUUUCUUUCUUUCUUUCUUUUUUUUCAUGGAAAUAUAGUUAUAAAUCUACAGCUCUUUACGUAUAUGUUGAGGUUGAAUAGUGUGUGGAGAUACUGUAGUUGGUAGAAGUUGUAGAAGACAAUCUGGUUUAAAUCCAGAGGUACACAGUAUAACCACGGUGUGAGUCCUAACAAAGAUUUUAUGUGUUCCUAGUGGAGAGGAGUCAGCAUGGUGUCUCAUGGAGAAGCUUUUCCCCUUCCAGAAUAUUAUGGAUGUGAGUGUGUCAGUAGAAGACGAGCAGGGAGCUGUCUAAGCUACUCUUGGAGUAUUAGGACAGUUGGUGUCCCCAGACCUCCUGCAAAGGUGCAAGUUGGAUGAAAGACUUCAUUUUCUUGAUAUUACACUGUCAACUGCUGUCCUUCCUUGGAAUUGAUUAUUGUGUACUUGUCCUACUCACAUAAUAGGUUUGAAAAGUCAUUUUUCAUGGGGCAGGAUAUGGAUUAGAGUGUUGGAUGCUUCAGAGGUCUUCUGGUUUAUGUUUUGCCUUGCUUGAUUCUUGAUUAAAAUAGCUAACCUGAAAUAAGAUGCUUUACAGAAUCAAGUGCGACAAUCUAUUUGCUUUUAGAAUUAAAAUUUCAGGUAGAUCAAUUGCAGAAUGACAGUAGUGGACAAAUGAUGGAGAGGACCGUGCAGCUCUGAAAAGUCAGGACCCGUGGGCACUGUAUGGUUAGGAAGGCAUUUUUGUAGGUAUUACUGUUGCUUCAAGAAGUAAGGUGAUUGUGUACAGUGAUCCCUUUGAAUCACUCAUCAGAGCCUACACCAAGUCUAUUUUUUCUUGUCCCACGUGCUUUCUACAUUGAAACCUAUGUGAAUUUUUUUAUUUUUAUUUUAUUUUCCAAUUUGCUUUUUCUUUCUUCUCUGCUUUCCUUCUUGGGAAAACAAUUUACAUAAGCUAGAAGUUGUGAGUUUUAACUCUCCAAUUGAUUUUAAAGCAUAGUACAGCAGACGGACUUUUUAAAAGAACAAAUCUAAUCUUCUUAGAAGUGCUAUCCCAUCAAGAUUUAAAUUGAAGGAUCAUCCAGAUAUAGUAUGCAGUCAUUGUUAAGGAGAUUAGACCAAUUUUUUUGGUUGGUUCUAGAAUCCUCUAAUUUAAUGAAAACAUGAAGUUAGCAUGGUCAUCCUGAAGAGAAGAGAGAAUAUUAAUGAGGCAAUCAUAAGAUUUGAUCUGCAACAAUAAUUUGAUUAGUUUUUAUUUUAACGGGG